UAGGGAAUCUUCCACAAUGGACGCAAGUCUGAUGGAGCAACGCCGCGUGGGUGAAGAAGGGUUUCGGCUCGUAAAGCUCUGUUGUUAAAGAAGAACGUGGGUAAGAGUAACUGUUUACCCAGUGACGGUAUUUAACCAGAAAGCCACGGCUAACUACGUGCCAG
rnacentral:rRNA from 1 species